UGGUGACUAUAGCAAGGAGGUCACACCUGUUCCCAUGCCGAACACAGAAGUUAAGCUCCUUAGCGACGAAUGGUAGCCAACUUACGUUCCGCUAGAGUAGAACGUUGCCAGGCA
rnacentral:rRNA from 1 species